GAUGAACGCUGGCGGCAUGCCUAACACAUGCAAGUCGAUCGGUAAGGCUCUUCGGAGUACACGAGAGGCGGACGGCUGAGUAACGCGUAGGAACACACCCUGCAGUGAGGGAUAAGACACCGAAAGGUGUUCUAAUACCGCAUACGGUCUUCGGAUUAAAGCAUUUAUGCGCUGAAGGAGUGGCCUGCGUCAUAUUAGAUAGUUGGUGAGGUAAUGGCUCACCAAGUCGAUGAUGUGUAGCUGGUCUGAGAGGAUGAUCAGCCAGACUGGAACUGAGACACGGUCCAGACUCCUACGGGAGGCAGCAGUGAGGAAUAUUUCACAAUGAGCGAAAGCUUGAUGGAGCAAUGCCGCGUGCAGGAUGAAGGCCCUCGGGCUGUAAACUGCUUUUAUAAGAGAAGAUUAUGACGGUAACUUAUGAAUAAGGGACGGCUAACUACGUG
rnacentral:rRNA from 1 species